GCCGGGGCUGUGAGCUGUGUCCCACGCCUCUUCCCUGCCUCAGCCGGGAUGUGUCCAGUGUCACCGAGUCAGGAUCAGAGGCAGGACCUGAUCCCCCGCCUGCAGGCAGCUGGCUGAGAUAGGUAAUGGCUGUGCGGUAGAUACCUGUGCUCCUGCCACGGGUGCUGGGAGAGAUCUAUGCGUAUCUUGAGUUCUGAGCUUCGUGUGUAUGUGCAAGGCUGAGCUGAGCUGGAGUUACCCCUCUGGCAGCUUUAAUCCCAGGAGCACCACACCUCCAGCAGCUGGUACAUGCGACCUCACAGAACAUCCUGUUGGCUGGGAGUAGCAGAGACUAUACUACUAUGAGGAGAAACACACUUGAGUGCUCAGCAUCACUAGUGCUAGUUCUCUUUGUCAUUACUUGAGAGAGAACAGUGUGUAGGCAUGUAUUCCGGCUACAUUCCCUGCAGCACUUUCUGUGAGUAACCCAACUGGAAGGAAUAGGUACGUCUCUUUCUGAAGAAAACAUAGCUUCUGUCACAAGUAGGCCGCCAGUUUGUCCUUCCCAGUUCCUUUUUGUGCCUGUUUGUCUUGGAUGUCUUAAAAAGUUCCAGUGAUUUUACAUCUCUAGCAAAGAGAUUUGGUGAAGCUGGUGGGGAAGAGCUGACCUCAGCAGGCCUGUGACACCAAGGUGAGCAGACAAAGGUGGAGUGAGGAAGAGCUGUUCCCUAGGCCAUGGGGCCUUGCUUUGGUAAGUCUCUUCCUAAAAGCUGUCUGCCACAGACAGCUUUGGUCUAAUGCUCCCUGGUGUAUGAUGGCAGGAAGCUCUCAGGAGUGGAGAGUCAGUGGGUGGGAUGGUACUGAUGUUAAUUUUACAAGGGAUACGGGAGUGUCAAAUAGUUCCUGGUGCAUUUAGGAACGCAGAACAACCAGUGCCUGAGAAAAUCUAUUUUGCUGGUCUCUGUUCCUUGCUACUGUGUACUACAUCUUCAGAUACUUAUCUUGAAAUGAACCUAUUUUAGCUGACUUUGUUACGUUUUCUGUUUGUUUUAAGCAUGGCAGUUCUUUGAAUUCGUGGUUCACCUAAAAGGACAAGAUUACCACAGAAUGUGAACUGCUGGCUUUCUCUCAGGGGACGAAAGAGGUGGAGAGCACAAGAACUGUGCUUGAACAAGUAAUGCGGGGUCAUUCAGGCUGUGUCACACAAAUUACAAGGUCUGAUGAUGUAGGCACCUUUGGGCAGGCUCUUGGAGUUUGUAAGGCUCCAGAGUGCAGCUUCACCCCAGAGGGCACCUUGAAGUGGGAAUGUCAUUCAGGAGUCCAAGGUUCUGAAACAGUUCACCAAGACUUUUCCACUCCUAACCCUGCAAACCACUGACAUUAUUAUCCAGAUACUCCUUUGUAGGCACAAAGUCAUUUGUGAUUCCUUUGUUUUGCUCAUUCUCUGCUUGGUGCAAGAGAAUUCAAUGUCAAGCAACAGUCAUCUUCUGUCCUGGUGCUGCGGGGUU